rnacentral:lncRNA from 1 species
CCAUUUGCAAAGCCGGAAAUGAUUAAAAUCUCAGGGUUGAGACCAUUCCCAGUCAGUAAGGGCUUGCCAAGACCACAGUUCCUGCUUCUGGUGUCUACUCUGAAGAGCAUACAGUAGAGGUCUGUCUACCAUAACAUUGGCAGUAGGAUCUCUCCAGCUGCUGGAGAGCACACGGGGAGAGUGAGUCACUGGCGUGGCGGGCAUCGAGGAAACGCGCUAAUUUGAGAGGUCAGCGGCGAGUCCAGCUCAAUGGCCUAGUCUCGCCAGGCUGAGGGGCGGACCCUGCCGGCCUCCGUCCUCUUCCGCUCGCCUCAGGUACAGCCCGGCGGAUCCCUCCGCCGCAGCGUGCGCUCCCGGUAGCGCCGAGAUCGGCUUUUCGGCAAUACCCGGAUGGAAGCGUAAUGGCCGCCAUCAGGGACUCGCAGGCAAUGGGGACCACGACAGAUAUCGUCUCUUCUUUUGAUCACUGUUCCUGAUUGUGGCUUUGUCCAAGCAUUAAAUUGCGUGCCUUUUGUUCCUUGAAGAAGGAGAAAAAGUAAUAUAAUGAAGAAUGAAAACUUCAAAUGUAAUGAAGUAAACAAGAGGCUGCUAUAUGAUGACUGACCAAAAUGAUUUGGAUUAUUCCAUCUUGAAAAAUUCUGGUGCUAACAAGUCCCAACUCGACCCCUGGACCCAGCUCAAAACUCUGGAUUCAUUCUCUUCCUUCCCAUACCUCAGCCUAAGCUUUCUGUCUCCCCAAAGGGUACCACAUGAUCUUCUUCUCAAGUCCUCACUUUCUAGAAUCUCAAGGUAUGUUCAGGGAGGAAGUGGGCAGAUUUAUGUCCUUUACUUUCUUACUUAGGGCAUAAGAGAUGCUUAUUAAAUGCUUAUUAAAUGAAUGUCCCCUAGGCAAAUUCCUCUUUAAAA